CCCUAGUGGCGGACGGGUGAGUAACGCGUGGGUAACCUGCCAUAUACAGGGGGAUAACACUUAGAAAUAGGUGCUAAUACCGCAUAAGCGCACAGGGGCGCAUGCCUCGGUGUGAAAAACUCCGGUGGUAUAUGAUGGACCCGCGUCUGAUUAGCCAGUUGGCAGGGUAACGGCCUACCAAAGCGACGAUCAGUAGCCGGCCCGAGAGGGCGGACGGCCACAUUGGGACUGAGACACGGCCCAAACUCCUACGGGAGGCAGCAG
rnacentral:rRNA from 1 species